GCCUAAUACAUGCAAGUCGAACGCGUCUCCGUUAAUGAUUUUAGGUGCUUGCACUUGAAAGAUUUAACAUUGAGACGAGUGGCGAACUGGUGAGUAACACGUGGGUAACCUGCCCUUGAAGUAGGGGAUAACACUUGGAAACAGGUGCUAAUACCGUAUAACAACCAAAACCACCUGGUUUUGGUUUAAAAGACGGCUUCGGCUGUCACUUUAGGAUGGACCCGCGGCGUAUUAGCUUGUUGGUAAGGUAACGGCUUACCAAGGCGAUGAUACGUAGCCGACCUGAGAGGGUAAUCGGCCACAUUGGGACUGAGACACGGCCCAAACUCCUACGGGAGGCAGCAGUAGGGAAUCUUCCACAAUGGACGAAAGUCUGAUGGAGCAACGCCGCGUGAGUGAUGAAGGGUUUCGGCUCGUAAAACUCUGUUGUUGGAGAAGAACAGGUGUCAGAGUAACUGUUGACAUCUUGACGGUAUCCAACCAGAAAGCCACGGCUAACUACGUGCCAGCAGCCGCGGUAAUACGUAGGUGGCAAGCGUUGUCCGGAUUUAUUGGGCGUAAAGCGAGCGCAGGCGGUUUUUUAGGUCUGAUGUGAAAGCCUUCGGCUUAACCGGAGAAGUGCAUCGGAAACCGGGAGACUUGAGUGCAGAAGAGGACAGUGGAACUCCAUGUGUAGCGGUGAAAUGCGUAGAUAUAUGGAAGAACACCAGUGGCGAAGGCGGCUGUCUGGUCUGUAACUGACGCUGAG
rnacentral:rRNA from 1 species